AUUGAACGCUGGCGGCAGGCCUAACACAUGCAAGUCGAGCGGAUGAAGGGAGCUUGCUCCUGGAUUCAGCGGCGGACGGGUGAGUAAUGCCUAGGAAUCUGCCUGGUAGUUGGGGAUAACGUCCGGAAACGGGCGCUAAUACCGCAUACGUCCUGAGGGAGAAAGUGGGGGAUCUUCGGACCUCACGCUAUCAGAUGAGCCUAGGUCGGAUUAGCUAGUUGGUGGGGUAAAGGCCUACCAAGGCGACGAUCCGUAACUGGUCUGAGAGGAUGAUCAGUCACACUGGAACUGAGACACGGUCCAGACUCCUACGGGAGGCAGCAGUGGGGAAUAUUCGACAAUGGGCGAAAGCCUGAUCCAGCCAUGCCGCGUGUGUGAAGAAGGUCUUCGGAUUGUAAAGCACUUUAAGUUGGGAGGAAGGGCAGUAAGUUAAUCCCUUGCUGUUUUGACGUUACCAACAGAAUAAGCACCGGCUAACUUCGUG
rnacentral:rRNA from 1 species